GACGAACGCUGGCGGCGUGCCUAACACAUGCAAGUCAACUUGACGGAAGGAGCAAUCUGACCGUAGAGUGGCGCAAGGGUGCGUAACGCGUAAGUAACUUGCCCCAAGGUAAGGAAUAACGUCGAGAAAUCGGCGCUAAUACCUCAUAAUGCAGCGGAUCCGCAUGGAUAUGUUGUUAAAGGUUUACCGCCUUGGGAUAGGCUUGCGUCUGAUUAGCUAGUUGGUGUGGUAACGGCACACCAAGGCUACGAUCAGUAACUGGUCUGAGAGGAUGAUCAGUCACACUGGAACUGAGACACGGUCCAGACUCCUACGGGAGGCAGCAGUGAGGAAUAUUGGGCAAUGCUCGAAAGAGUGACCCAGCAACGCCGCGUGGAGGAUGAAGGUAUUCUAUAUCGUAAACUCCUGUGAGAGCAGACGAAAGACAGAUUAUAAUCUGGAUGACUGUAUGCUCAGAGGAAG
rnacentral:rRNA from 1 species